AAAAAUCAAAAGAAGAAGAAGAAGGCUGCACGCAUGCGCGUUGAAGCUGUUCCGUGAGACAAAGGACGAAGGCUAAGCUGCGAGUUCCAGAAUCCCGAUAUUCAGGCAAUUGGGUGCGCCAUCCAUUUAUCACAAAGGCAUGCAGGGGUGUUUACAAGCAGACGACCACAGCUAAAGUGGAUUGUGAGCUUGGAGAGGUCCUGAAACUGGCCACUUUUCGAAAGGGAGGUUCAAAAUGUGAGGAGAAGAGGAGGAAUUAAGAGGGAGGGCAAAAAAGGAAAAAGAAACAAGCAAAAGAACAGAGAUAGUGACAGUGAGUUGAGUGACCAGGAAGCGACGGCGAAGAACAAGGAUAAAGCCAAGAAAACGGACAGUGACAUCUCACUGUUAUGUUAUGUUAUUUUCAUUUAUUAUACGCCCCCCAACCAACUGUUACAUCAGCCCGGGGCGCAGCCCGAGUGGAGAAACAAAAAAAAAAACAGAAACAGAGACUGAGACACA